CCUACGGGAGGCAGCAGUGAGGAAUAUUGGUCAAUGGGAGAGAUCCUGAACCAGCCAAGCCGCGUGAGGGAAGACGGCCCUAUGGGUUGUAAACCUCUUUUGUCGGAGAACAAAACCCGGGACGUGUCCCGGACUGCGUGUCUCCGAAGAUAAAGCAUCGGUUACCUCCGUGCCAGCAGCCGCGGUAAUACGGAGGAUGCGAGCGUUAUCCGGAUUUAUUGGGUUUAAAGGGUGUGUAGGCGGUCCGUUAGGUCAGCGGUAAAAUUGCGGGGCUCAACCCCGUCGAGCCGUUGAAACUGGCAGACUGGAGUGGGCGAGAAGUAGGCGGAAUGCGCGGUGUAGCGGUGAAAUGCAUAGAUAUCGCGCAGAACUCCGAUUGCGAAGGCAGCGUACCGGCGCCAGACUGACGCUGAGGCACGAAAGCGUGGGGAUCGAACAGGAUUAGAUACCCCUGUAGUC
rnacentral:rRNA from 1 species